rnacentral:tRNA from 1 species
GCCUUCGUGGUAUAGUGGUCAGCCUUCUCGACGCGUAACCGAGAGGUCCGUGGUUCGAUUCCCGGCGAAGGCU